AAUCAACGCUGGCGGCGUGCCUAACACAUGCAAGUCGAACGCGAAAGGGGACUUCGGUUCCUGAGUAGAGUGGCGUCCGGGUGAGUAACACGUGGGUAAUCUACCUUCGGGUGGGGAAUAACUCAGGGAAACUUGAGCUAAUACCGCAUAAUGCAGCGGCACCUAAUGGUGAUUAGUUGUUAAAGCGGGGGAUCGCAAGACCUCGCGCCUGAAGAGGAGCCCGCGGCAGAUAGCUAGUUGGUGAGGUAACGGCUCACCAAGGCUGCGAUCUGUAGCUGGUCUGAGAGGACGGCCAGCCACACUGGCACUGACACACGGGCCAGACUCCUACGGGAGGCAGCAGUGGGAAUUUUGGGCAAUGGGCGAAAGCCUGACCCAGCAACGCCGCGUGAGGGAGGAAAUCCUUCGGGA
rnacentral:rRNA from 1 species